GUGCAUGGGCCGUUCUUAGUUCGUGGAGUGAUCUGUCUGCUUAAUUGCGUUUCAAAUUUUUAACCGAGGACCGGGUUUUGGUUUGGCUAGUGGUCCUACGAUGACUGUGAACUGUCAUGUCUUCGGAUGUACGACUAUCGGUCUAGGAUCACAUGACUUGCCCCUGGGACUCUUUUGAACGCAACGGACGUGAUUGCAACCCCUUGUUGAGAUUAGAGAUAGUCUCGAUAUUCACUGGCCAAACUGGCUGCUUUAUGCAGUCUUGUUGAAUGGUGGAUAAACUCGGGGGACUGCUGACUAUAACCAUUUCUCAAAACAGAGGAAGGUUGCGGCAAUAACAGGUCUGUGAUGCCCUCAGAUGUCCCGGGCUGCACACGUGCUACAAUGAGUGGCGCAAUGUGCUAAUGUUUUAAGGGAUAAGCGUGCGGCCAGUAGAACGUCGGCAAUUGCCCUGGCGUCUUCUACCGCACGAUUAUCAGCCUUCCCUUAACAGGGCGGGCAACCUUUUCAAAAUACCGGUUUGAUGUUAAAGUAUAGAGUCGUUUUUUUUGGAUGGUGGUUU
rnacentral:rRNA from 1 species